rnacentral:lncRNA from 1 species
AUGGAGAUCUGCGGGAGCUGGUGCUUCCAAGUGACCGUGGCUUCCUCCUCCUCCUCCUCCUCUCCCUCCUCCUCCUCCUCCUCCUCUCCCUCCUCCUCCUCCUCUACCUCCUCCUCUCCUCGUCCUCAUCCCUCAUCCUCUCCUCCUCGUCCUCUCCCUCCUCCCCUCCUCCUCCACCUCCCCCUCCUCCUCUACCUCCUCCUCCUCCUCUUCCUCUCCCCCUCGUCCUCUCCCUCCUCCUCCUCCUCUCCUCCUCCUCCUUUCCCUCCUCGUCCUCAUCCUCUCCUCCUCGUCCUCUCCCUCCUCCCCUCCUCCUCCUCCACCUCUCCCUCCUCCUCCACCUCCUCCUCCUCCUCCACCUCCUCCUCCUCCUCCACCUCCUCCUCCUCUUCCUCUCCCCCUCCUCCUCUCCCUCCUCCUCCUCCUCUGCCUCCUCCUCACCUCUUGCUCCUCGUCCUCAUCCUCUCGUCCUCGUCCUCUCCCUCCUCCCCACCUCCUCCUCCUCUCCCUCCUCCUCUUCUACUCGUCUUCUCCCUCCUCCUCCUCCACCUCCUCCUCCUCUUCCUCUCCCCCUCGUCCUCUCCCUCCUCCUCCUCUACCUCCUCCUCCCCACCUCCUCCUCCUCCUCUCCCUCCUCCUCUCAUUCCUCCUCCUCCUCUCCUACUCGUCUUCUCCCUCCUCCUCCUCCACCUCCUCCUCCUCUUCCUCUCCCUCCUCCUCCUCUACCUCCUCCUCACCUCUUACUCCUCGUCCUCGUCCUCUCCUCCUCCUCUUCCUCUCCCUCCUCCUCUCCCUCCUCCUCCUCCACGCCUCUUCCUGCUCCUCCUCUCCUCCUUGUCCUCUCCCUACUCCCCUCCUCCUCCCCUCCCUCCUCCCCUCCUCCCCUCCUCCUCCCCUCCUCCUCUCCCUCCUCCUCUCCCUUCUCUCCUCCUCCUCUCCCUCCUCCUCCUCUCCCUCUCCCUCCUCUCCCUCCUCUCCCUCCUCUUCCUCCUCUUCCUCAUCCUCGUGCGCUUUCCGUUUGGGUUAAGUGGGGAGCGCGCGCCUGCGGCACGUGGGAGGAAGAGCUAG